UGUCUAGAGCAAGAACAAAGCUGAGGUAGCAAAGAUCAGAGGCAUAGACUAUUGUGGAGUAACAUGGCUGAAGGGGUGAACGUAGAGAGAAGUGACUUGAGCUAUGUAGGCAGGAGGACGGUUCUGUGUGAGGGAUGCUUUUUGUGUCUUUCCAGCUCAGUUCGUGUCCUUGCAACUUGCAGAGAGUGGAAAAGACAUUGAGAAGGAAGAGGCAAGAAGCCAUGAGGAACUGCUGCAGGUGCAGGGGCUGCUUUGAAAGGUCACAGUAAUAGAGAGAGGAUUCUGAUGACUGAAAAAAGGCACGCAUCAUACACGCAUUCAAGAAGGACAUCUCCUCUGAGCCAUAUUCAAAGACCUGAGCUGACUUGGACUGCUGAAUCUGUAGGGAGGAUUUCAACACAGCUCUAAGCACUUGGACAUUGGAGCCAUGCAGGAAGGAAGAGGGAGACAUUCAAGCCCUCCCCCCUUCCCUUUGAAUAUGAAGACUUCAGCAGCUGGACAAAAACGCAUGUGACAGAGCCCUUGUACGAUGUCCAUCUCCCCUUUCUGGCACCUGACCUGCUCAGUUCAAUAGGGAAAGACAAACGGCAAGCAAUCGUUUCCUUCUGCAUUCCUUCUGUAUUCAACUUCUGCAUGCUACCUUUGUUUUUCACAUGGAAGCACUUUUGUACUUACCAUGUUUGUCAUUCUGCCAUGUAGCUUUUCUUUUUCCUGUUACAGUUUCUUGGUUUUUUUUUUUAGGUCAGGGUACCAGAACUGCACUUAGUAUUCGAGAAGCAGAGGCACCAUGAAUUCAUACAGUGGCAAAAUCAUAGUUUUCUCUCCUAAGAAUUCUGAACUUUUGAUUUUCUUUUUUUUGACUGCUAUUGAGCAAUGAGGUGAUAUAUUCAUAGAACUAACUGUUACAAUGUCAAGUUGCAUUUCCUAAAUUGUGCAAACUAGUUCAGAGCCCAUCACUCUCUCUGUUGCUUUUUGUGGAUAGCCAGAUUAUAGUUGUCAGGGCUGAAAUUUAUCUUCCACUUUAUCAUGAGUCUGCUCAGUGUAAUGAAAUCUAUAAGUUUUUGUAGUAAAUAUUACCCUAAUUAAUUUAGUUCUUAUCAGAAAUCAUCUUCGCUACUCCACCUGCUUUCCAGAUCACUUCUGAACACAUUGAACACAAUGGACCUUAAUCCCCAUGGGACUUCACUGAUGAUCAUCUUCCACUGCGAAAACUCAUCCUUUAGUCUAAUCUUCUUUUUCCAAUAUUAAACUGUGAGGUCCUUACCUGUAGUCCCUGGCUGUUUAGUUUAUUUAAGAGCCUUUGAUGAGACCCUCAAUGUCUGAGGUUUCUGAAAGCUUGGGUGAGUUGGGAAUACAGGGAAAAUUUCUCAGCUGGAUCUCUGUUAUUUACAUGCUUUUGACUCCUUCAGAGAAUUCCAGCACAUUUAGGAGGCUCAGAUUCCUUUUACAAAAGUAAUGUUUGCUUUUCCUUAAUGUGAUACUUUUAUUCAUGUAUUCACUAACUUUGUUCUUUGCUAGAGCUUCAGCCUAUAUGACCGAUAUGGACAUGAGACUUAGUGAUUUGUGGUUUCUUGAAUCACCAAUGGAUUUAUUUUUAAAAACUGAUUUCUUAUUAGUUACCCUCCAGUCCUUUGAUAAUCGCACCAAUUUUCAGCAAAAGGUUACAUACUAAGGUUAUUAGCUCAGAUGAUUCAUAUUUAACAUUCUGUAAAAAUCUUGUACGAAUAUAAUCUGUGCCCAGUGAUAUGUUGUUAUUCAUUUUGUCUGGUUUGUAAUCUACUUUUAACAACCUUAAAUUAAGGCAAGCCUUCUGUCAAUGCCUUAUAAACUAGAUGCUGGUUUUAGAGUUUCUCUGAGAUUCUCCAGGUGAAUAGAGAUUAAAAAAAAAAAAGUUUGGGAUUUUUUGUGAAGGCAUUCUCUUUUCUGAGUGCUUCUUCUGUACAUGUGUAGCACUCUGGAUCUUGCAAGCUUCUUGCUCUUGAUGCGUUCAAGAAGGAUUUAUUACUUUUUUUUAUUUCUUUAGCAAACUGCUCCUAAACUCUUUCUUCGGUCUAUGUUAUUGUGCUUUUACAUUUAGUCUGCUAGAAUUUAUGUUCUUUUUAGUUUUCCUUUUUCAGACACAACUUCAGCUUUUUGCAGGAUACCUUUUAACUUCCAACAGCCUCCCUGAUCCUGCUGUUUUAUGAUGCUAGCUUUUUGUUUUGCUCUCAAGUCUUUUUUGACAGGUUAUAUGCAUUUGCUUUGAGCCUCCAAUAUAGAAUCCUAAAAUAGUCUACCUGCCAUCUGAAGACAUUUUACCUUUCUGGCUGCCACUCUAAGCAUUCUUUUUUUUUAGCAGUUUUCCUCAUUUUUGAAUUCCCUUUCUCUGGAAUCAAGCACAACCACUGCAUUUGCCAACAUUUCUUCAUUUCAGAGUAAGCAGUCAUGAAUCAGAUAAAAGGAUUAAGGGUUUUGGCCUAGCACAGUCUCUAGGAAGGCUAGAAAUAUCAGCCAUUAACAUUUCACUAAUGUUAAUUUCACUAAUUUCAUUAACUGAGAAACAGGGAAGAAAGUGCCUUGCCAGGGCUGGAGAUGGUAGGAAUUUGUGCCCUGAAACAUCAGCUUCUCUCUCCAACCUGCAACAGAUAAAAUGACAAGUAAUUGGAGAAAAAAUAAAAAAGCAAUCUGGGCUGAUUUUUCGCCACAUCACUGAAGUUUGAUACUAACUAGCUUGAUUGUUUUUGAGCAGAAGCCAUCUACACUGUGCUGGUGGGAACCAGAGUGAGACAGCAGAGUCAUGGUGAUAAUGUCCAGUUCUCACAUUAGUGGACACAGGAAUCAUCUGGUAUACAAAGAAGUCUGGAAGGACAGCGUGUGAAUGCAAGUAGUUCUUCACUGUAAUACUACUAGAGAACAAGAGUUUAGACUAUUUUAUGACUUCAGUUUGCAUAUAACAAAAUCUUGGAUGAAGUCUGACCACAAAAGGACUAAGACUGCAGAUGGUAGAGGCUGGUUUGCUAGCUGAUUCCUUUCAGGUCUCUCCAAUUCCAGACUGCUCCUUGCAGUAAGUAGUAGGUACUUACUAACAGCUCCAAAGGUGCUCUGAAACUGGUGGGGAUAAGCAGUCUUUGCCAAGCAGGUGCUGCACUUUAACAUGUGACUAAGGCUUGCUUACCACCGAAAAACGUUUACUUUGAGGUUGAAAGGCACUAGCACUCAGCUACUGCAAAAUGCGUUUAAAGCCAGGGUGAACCGAACAAUGCUGGUUACAGUGCAACUGCUGGCUAGCAUUGACUGCUUAGCAACAGCGAGAGUGAUGUGGAUACAGAUGAAUUGACUGUUUUCUGAGCAAGCUGGGUAGGAACAGAAGUAAUUAGCUGCUAGCUGAUGAAAAAGCAUGCUUAAUUAUUAGUAUAAUUAUAGAUAUAAUAGACCAGGAAUUAUUCAGUAAAAGUAAGAAAGCCAAUGUGUUACAAAGAAGGUAAUCAGAAUGGAAGACAAAAUGACAGCACUGUGAAGUCUUGAGAAGAAAUGUAAAGAAUUAAGAUGGUAAGUCUGGAAUCUUUUGGGUUUCCACCCUCUGACAUAUCAACUCAAUUUAACAAUGGUGUAAGGAUAUACAGAGCUAACAAGGUCUGUGGCUUGUAUGAUUUUUGGUUCUGUGUGACGUUGAUUUAACUGAUUGUAUGUCAGUGAAGUUGAGCUGCAUUUUCAUAAAUCUCAGAACAUGCACAACUUCACAAGGGUCUCUGUUCUUCUUCCAGCAGUACUACAGCACAACCAUUUAAUUUGAUGGAUCCUGUGGGAAGCUGAGCUAUAGCUGGUUCUGAUCUAUAUUGGUAAUUGAUUAUAAUUAUUUGAUAAGGCAGCACUGCUUUCCCUUGGCACCCUGAGUAAGUAAUUGUGACUAAGAAGCAGUCAUGUCAGAGAGCUGCGCUACCUGGCCACUGCAUCUUAAACUGUUUUCCAUGCCCACUGGGGAGAUGGCUGAAGAUAACAGGCUGAACUGCACUAACAGAGACGUUAGCAGUACAUUGUUAAUAUAGGAUGUAUAAUCAAUGAAAUGGGGAAUCUUGGGAAGAUUUUAAGUACAUCUCUUCUGACGUCAGAAUGGACGUAGGUAGUGCUGGUCCUGCUUUUGUGCCAGGGAUGGGGCUGGAUGCUAAUGGCAGCAGCAGUGAUCUGGAGUCUUCUGUAAGAAUCUGGAACUGAGAGGCCCAAGAUGUAUACAAUUUUUUCUAAAGUUGUAGCAAUUUCUAAAAUUAUGGCAGUGGAAUGGAAGACUCUGGCACCAGCAGCUCUAAUCUAGAUACUUUGAGACUGAGAGUAGUGGUGCCAAAUGAUUACAAAGAUGAUUAUAAACAAAUUUUAUGGAAUUACUAUUUGAGGACUAAUUAUUAAAAUGGCUUUUGAUUAAUGAGUUUUGAGUCAAGCUGGUUUGGCAAAUAGCAUUUUGAUAAGGUAUUUAUAAGACAGAUUGUCUUAAGAUGGUAAGAUGAACGUAUAACACUAACCUUAAUGAUGAUGUUAAUGCAGAAAUGAUGUAAAUGUGCAUAAGCAAUUACUGUAUGAAGUCACUGGGGUACAUCAGGACAAAUUGAGUACAGACAAACUAUAAUCAGCAUCAGCUGAGCACAGAAUUAUUGAAAAGUGAAGCUGGAAGAAAUCUCAGCUGAUCACUUAGUCCAUCUCCCUCUUCCACAACAGAAUCAGAUCUGCUUACGACGUUCUUGGCACAUGCAGAACUGUUGUUUCUCUUCCAUUUUGUAGCAGACUUCUAUCUCCUACAGGACUGUUACUGCACUGAUCCUGAUUCUGUCAGGACUGUUACUGCAUCUCUCCAUGGUCGUCUUUCUUUGGAGCAUCUCCUGUUCUUUGUCUCUUGAUUCGGGUCAUGUUUUCCAGACUUCUAACCAUUAUUGUUAUUCUUGCUGCUUAGUCUGUCAACCUUUCUUGAGGAGCAGUACCCAGCAAUUGGACGUGCUACUGAGUAACACUGAGGUGUUACUGAGUACAGCAAAAGGACCUGCAAGAUGGCUUGCAGGUAACUCUUCUGUUCAUAUAGCUAUGUAGUGUUUUCUCUUUGCUCAGGACAACAACCCCUGUUCAGCUUGUGAUCUAUCAGGACCUUCAGAUCUUUUUUUUUUUUUUUCCAGACUGCUUUCUGCCAAGCUGAUAUCUAUCCUGUAUUUGUGCACUUCACUCCUGCCUAAGUUAAAAUGCUACAUUUUUUACCAUUUACAGUUUUUACUCCUAUAUUUAUAGACAACUUGUCCAAGUUGUCAAAAGUUUUUAAUACUUCUAUCCCCCACGUAUUUGUAGCCACUCUUUGCAGAUUUAAUUUUGGCAGAUUUAAUAAACACGCAGUCCAUUCCCUCAUCCAGGCUAUCAAUAAAAUAUUGAAUAGAACUUAUGAACAGCUGAGCAACCAUUCAAUUUGUCCUUUAAAUUUCACAGUGAACCCUUGGAAACUACUCUCAGAGUGUGGAUUCCAAUCAGAUUUGUAUCGUGACUUCGGCCAGGGCAUUCUUGCCUUCAUGAAUGUUGUGUAGGGCAAUGUCAGGAGCCUCAGUAACACUGAGGUAUGUGAGUAUGCUUUUUCCCUAUCCACAAAGUCUCAUCCAUCGGAGAGGGAAAUUGGAUUGAGUCAGCUUGUUUUGUCCAUGAGGAAUCCAUGUUGACAAGUACUCAUCUCCUUAUUAGUUUAUAUGUGUUAGAAAUCAUUCAAAUUAUUCUGGUGUUUUUCUUUUCCUGGAUGUUAAAUCUUUUGGUAUCUUAGUUAUUCUGUUUGACUUGUAGAAGAUGUCUGCUAGUGGUUCCAGUUAAUUGAAAGUGUAAGAACUUUGGGGACAGUGGUGAAGGCAACAGAUACAAACCCUUCACUGGGAGAAACUCCGUGCCAAAUGUGAAAUUUCUGUGGUAAAGCAGAGAGACACAAAAGGUUCUCAGGAGAGUGGUGGAAGGAACGUUUACACAAAAGGAAAUUAUUUUAUUUCAAUCUGAGAAAUUAUGAUGCAAAUCAGCUUAAUUUAAAAGAGAAAUUUCAGGCUAGGUUGAGAAAAUUCUGAACAGUUUGAACUACAAGUCUGAACAGUCUUGUAGAAAUACGGUCAGGGUCAUGUGAAGGAAGAAGUUGGGAAACCUUAAUUUUGGGCUGCACUGGCUUCUUUGCCUAUAAUAGAUUGGUAGUGAACGUCUAAGAAAACAGAAAUAGAGAUUAGACUAAGUUUCAUAACCUUUUAACCCAGAAAGCCUGGAUCUCCUCAGCAAAGUGUUUUCUGAACUCUAAUAUAUGCUCACUGUUGACACGAGCUUAUUCACAGAACAGAAUGACCUUUGCAUAGCUCAAUGAGAAGUACGUGUGUGAUAAGUUUUAGUAUCUCCUGUUCAGUGUGCCCAUGUGACUGCAAGUUUGAUCUUACCAAAACAAGGUGUUAUACUUCAUUUUGUAGCACUUUUGCUGGAGUAUUUGAUACUGUGUGUAUAGGAAGCGUAUUUAUAUUUAUAUGAACACUCCAGUAUAUGAGUCAAGGAAGAAAGAAUAUGCAUUGCAAUGGUAUGACCCAUUUGCUGUUUUUCAGAAACUUUGAUUUUGCCUGAAUUCAGUAUUCUAAGGGGAAAAAAAAUACCACCCAGCAAAUUCUUGUCUAUGCUGUGCGUUAACAAGCCUUUGGGUCAGUACCAUUCCUGCUGUGCAUUUUGUUAUGUAGAAUUAUCAUCAUGGUUGUGCCUUGAACUGUUUGGAAGAUGGAACUGCUGGCAGAAGAGGGAAAUCAAAAGGGUGAUCAAACUCCCAAAAUAGAGGCAGAUGUAUUCCAUGUCGGCUGCAGAAAUUUUGAAGUGUGUGCAGGGGUCGUAUAACAACUUUCUUCUUUCAUCCCUUUUUUCACCAUCUUCUGCAGUGUAGAUCCCCUUAUACUUUCUGGUCCUUCAAGCUUAAGGGGCUGUAGAAGUACUCGAGACGUCAUUCGUGUGUGGAAAAGUGUUCUUGCUUUCUGGCAUCCUUUGGUUUUGCAUGUACCCUCCACAGGCAGGUACUCACCACGAGGUGGGAAAUGGUCUUGGUAACAAAGCUGAGACACGUGAAUAUACUGAGGACAGGUGCAAGGCAAUGCAGUAGAGAUUCUGUAACACAGGAGGGAUGGUAGAUGGUAAAUGUGACAACAAUCCCUGAGAACGUCCCCAGGAGCGAAACUGAGAACUGCAGACCAUCACACUGGAGUCUAUACUGAGCAAAUUAGAAGCUCUGGCCUCAAACUGCUCUGGGUAUGUGCUGUGAGAACCAUGUGGGCAAUGAAGACAGUAGGUGAAGCAAUUACUGAAGUAUUAGUGACGACCCCGGAAGCUCUUGGAAGGCAGGCAACCCUCCUCCCUGUGGACUCUACUCUGGAUCCAGAAAGGAGCAAGGCACACCACAGCCAAAUUCAUUGUCCUGGCAGGCCAUGGGGUUGUCCACAGCUUGAGGUUUAUCAUUUAGAAGCUUACCAGCAGGCAAGUCAAGAGCUGAAGCACGGCUGCAGCCGUGGAGCGCGUCAGCAAUGCAAUUUCCUCUAAUCACCUGCACAAUGAUCACAGGAGUUUUGCCUCCCUGUUUGUAGCAGCAAGAAGCAGUGCAUCUGCAACUUGUGAGAGACUUCACAUUGGCUCAUUUGGAUCAAAUAUCAGGGAGGAUUUAGAAGAGCGGUGUUUGCAGGCUGGAGAUUUGCUUGCUUCCUAAAUGUUGGUUACGUAUGGCACAUCUUGAGCCAAAGAGAAACCCCUAUGGCUUGGGGACUAUUUCCAGGUCUGUCCCACCCACGCCAGCUGCUGGGAAAGCUGCCUUUUGUGCCUUAAAACCUUGUACUAGCCUGAUGUUAUCGUACAUUUAACUGGCCCAGACAUGCUUCUGUCUACACUCUCUGUUUAGACAUGCCUUCAGUUCUGAAGGAUUUUUCUUAUGCCUACUCUACUCCUCUUUUCAACCAUAUCAGCUAUUUCAGAUCCUUAGUGUUUUGGAUAAAUGAUAUACAUUUCUUCUGACACUUUCAUAUGUUAUUUUUAAGCAGUUUUUUAUGCUGCUUGCCAACAUUUUAUCCUUACAGUUCUUUGAAUUUUGUAUUGAAACGCCCUAUGAACAAACUGUAUACAAAUCGGAAGGUCCUUUUUUAAAGUCAGACAUCAUCUUGGGGGAUCUGGGGGCUUUUUGAUCCUACUAAGAUACUGAAUUCAAGUAUAUUUUGGUCACUAUUAUAGAAUAACUUUUUUUUAAUAGUGGUUUGAACCUCAAAUGCCAAAUUUGGCCAGAACUGCCUAAGGAACUGCUUUUCCCAUUGAAAAUAGUUUAAUUCACUUCUCAAAAUUCAAUCACUUAAAGUGACUGAAUUUCGGAAUGGCCCAAACGCCACCCAGACCCAGGCACCAAGGAGCUUGGGUGGCUCUGGGCUACCUGCCCAGAGCCGUGCGCUGCUUGGGAACAGCAAGGAGUUGGAUAAGAAACUAUCUGGGUCUUGAGGAGGGACUGAAGCAAGCUUGCUUCUUGUGUUUAACAAGAUAGAAUAUAUACAUAGGGACAUUAAGAACUGCAAAUGAAUAAACUGAACCUAAAGAAAGUGAAAACUGCCCCAAUAAAAAAAAAAGUAGGACAGCUGUGCUUUUAUACAAGAACUUGCUGUUUCUUUUAUGACAUUUAUUUCAAAUCAUGCAAACCCUUCAGAGCAGCUCUAAUGCCCAGUGGAGUUCUCCAACCUAAAUGUCUCGUCGUCAGUGUAAGAAACAAAGAUAACGUAAUUUGAAUGCUGGAUGCAACAACGUAGGCUGCUCUUGAGGCUCAUUCUCCCUGCUCCAAAUGGGAAUGAUGGCUCCAAACAGACUCACCAGAACAGGCUGAAAAGCAGACAUCUCAUUUGUGAGGAAAUGGCCAAUAUCUCAGCUUUUUUCCCCGCAUUUGUUCCUUCCUUGAAAGAAAAAAACAAAACAGUUGCAUAAAGAUGCUGCUAUUUCAAAGCAAAUUUUAAAAUGUUUCUGAUUUGCAAAUGGCAUUUCAGCAUUUUCAUGAGAAUAAAAUGCUACGAUGAUGCUGUGUUUAAAUAUUUCAUUCCAGCUCCCUGAACAAACUUAAAAUCUUAUUAUAAGUCGUUUUGACAUAAAAGUGUGCUUCUCUGUGGUGCCCGUAGCUUAGACAUCUCCAGCUUCAAGCGCAGCUGCAGGAGCCCUCCCUGCUCAUGGCUGAUCAAAGGCAAACCAUGCUGCCACCCGCAAGCCACUGCUCAUCCCCGGCACCCAGCCCAGGAGAAAAAAAGGAUGCUGAACCUCUUAAGUGCCAAACUAAUUUUGCUGGGCCUGAGAUCUGCGAUGCUACCAUGGUAGCGGCUCUCCCAGGGUCUCCAAGGACCUGUUUCGGGACUCCGAGCAUCCUGACUCCAUCACCUGACAGUGUAAGCCAAUGCCUCUGCUCGAUGAGACACUUGGAUAUUUCUUGUGUUGUCUCUACCCUUGAUAACACCCUGAUCCACAGGGUGGGCACAGGGUUGAGCCUGCAGGAGCCUAAGCCUGUAUCCUGUGGGUGUCCCAGAACAGGACAGAGCAUAGGACAUGUUACAGGAGAGGACAGGGUUACUUGCUCUCUCACCACAUGGCUCCACUGAGCCACCAAACAGCCUUACAGAGGCUCCUGUAAGCACUGGCGUGUUUUACAUCUCCAUCGUUCUCGCUGAGUAGCUUUGACAGCUCUUGAUGUGUGCGAGUGAGGCCCCAUCCAGCACACAGGGAGGGUACAAGCAAGUGGAAGGCAGGGCUUAUGUUUGCCACUGAUAAAUGUAUUAGUCUUUAAAGUGGAAUUUAAACUACAACCCUUUUUCAGGCACCUCAGCACUGUGUUAUUUUGCAGGCCAUGUAAGGGAAUGUGAUUUUGCCUUUUUAACUGGAGUGUAUCUUAUGCUAAGCAGUGAGAUUAAGGGUAGGGAUCCAAAAGAAGUUGCUGGAUGGCAGAAUUGCCUUUAUAAAUAACAUUAAUAAUUUAUCCGAUCCAGGGGUUUUUUGGGUAAAUGAAAUACCUGCCGCUGUAUAAAGCCCAUUGAAUAGGAACACAUCUUGGCUUUUAUGAGGCUUGGAUUAAAGAAGGGAAAUGCUAAGGGGCUUAUCUUCACUUCAAUUUGCAGCCCUUCCGGCUAAUGGCAAACUCAUUUAAGAAGCUCCUGUGUUUGUGCCAACUCUGCCUUUAUUCUCACUGCCGGAGCUUGGCUGCAUUUCUCGCCGCAGCGCUGGAGAGAGCGGAGAGGAAGCAGUUUAUUUUCUUGACCUCAGAUUACCAGACAAAAGCUAGCGAGAAUAAUUUUCCUUGGAGUCCUCCCUAUUGCAAGUUGCUUUAAGCAUCUGCACAGCGGCUGCUGAGGACCUGGCCGUGCAGGGACCCCACGUGUGAAAGAGGACAGGGCUGGUGGCUGAACUGGGAUGAGUUGAAAGAGCACCUGUCAUCUUUCUUCUGGGACGCCUGCAUCCUCCUGCACAGACAGUCAUGAAAUGGCAAAAUUCAUCCUCUGCAAAGCCCAUGAGCUGUCACUUCUCAGCUCUUCUUUUAUGCUGGUAAAAAUCAAUUGCUUCAAAGUUCACUGAAGGUGAAGGCAACAUUUGCUUUCCAUUCAGAGCUAAGCAGGCCAUCUUCGAGAGCAAACGCUCUCAAAAGGAAGAAUAGCAAAAAUCAGCAGAAAAAUUCUCAGAAUAAUUUGGACUAGGAAAGGAAAAAGCAAUUUGCUCCCAGUUAUUCCACAGACAAAAGUAUGAAUAAAAAAAUCAUGAGCUAUUUACCCUGCCUGGACUGUUUGCAUGAGUUUUGUGCUAUUCCAGUUUUGCUUCACCAGCCCCCAAAGACCUUAUCACUGGAUCCUCAAGGCACUUAAAGAAAGCAUGAGGUUUUAUUUUAUUUUUUUUUUUGCAUGCUGGAUCAGCAGGGACCAAAAGCAGAGAAAACAAAAGGGGUCCUAAAUCUGAACCACGCUGAUGCUUGCGUGUGCAUUGACCUGGAUCAGAGACCGAACUCUGGAUGGCUAACUCUAGCAGUACAGAAAUUUUGUCCAAAAUAGUAUUACAAACUCAGGUGCUUUGCAUUCAGAUAGCAAGGCUGUAGCAAAGGCACGGUGGGUAUUUACAAUCUGUUAUAGAAAAACCUGAUACAUGUCAUUAGCUAUUCUGUUGUAAAAGCAGUUUAUGUUACCCACAUCUGCUGUUUAGGUGGCCCAGCCAGACAGAUGCACUGCUCAAAAUGCCAAAGACUGUGCUGCUGCAAUGAGGAGAGGAAAAAGAAAGGAAAAUGAAGACCUCGUAAGCUUUAUCAAAAACCACCAAAAAGUGAGGAGAUUUGGGGAUUACACUGUAAUUACAUUACCUUAAGAAAAAAGUUUACUGAAAAUUUCCUGUUUUGUGUUGCCAGUGCUUUUCAGCCAUUAGUAACACAUAACUUCUCAUUGUCUUUUCCUGAGGCACAGAUGGGCUAAUCUUCAGCUACCUGAUAAUUACACAUUGUUUGAAACUGUAUCAAAAGCUUCUGUUCCUGCAUUCCUUCAGCGGCCAUUACAGCUCACAAAAUCCCUUGAUUGGGGCUUGCAAGGGUCUCCGUCCAUCAGUCCGUCCGUCCAUCCAUUCAUCCAUCCAUCCAAAGGGCUGGGAGUGGAGUGCCAGAGCAUCCAUGCUCACAUAUAGGCUUCAUAGGCUGCUUGUACAGAUUUGCACCAUUUCCAAACUCGGUGGAGCGACUGAAGCUCCACCAGAAGCAUCUUCUUGGCUUGAUGCCAGUAUCCAAGGUUAAUAUGGGAUAAUGUUGCAUCAAAAUGUUUCUACUUAAAUAUGCAUGGCGAUGCUGAUGUCGUGGGGGAAUUAAGGAUAAACCAAUAUGAAAUGUUAGAAAUCAGCAUAACGAAGGUUUAGUCUCAGUUCUUGGGCAAAGCUAUGGACUGCCAAAUUGGAGAAAGGCAGCCCAUCAUCAGCUCUGUGGAGAGGAAGGUUGACAGUGCCCCCUUCUCUAGAGCCACAGUGGAGGCUGGAGAAACCUCCUUCUCCCUUGAUCCCUCCUCUUCAGGAGUGGUUACUCUGCCAGUUGAGCUCUGAUUGUUUUCAGAGGGUGUUUUCUCAGCUGGUUUGAGGGUGUCCAGUGGGAAAACACAAAAGGCCUCACUCAUGUUUUCUGCUUCCCCAUCAUCAGGUAUGCCUGUUGCCUUAUCAAAGAAGGAAACUAAAUUGGGUUGACAUGACUGGUUCUUGACAAACCCACGUUCUUUGAUUUUAUUCUUCAUUUUACAUCUUACAAAUGGCUUAUUUAAGACUUUCUUCCAGCCUCUUUCAGGGAAUUGAGAUUAAGAUGAUGAUUUAAUUUUUAAUUUUUUUUUUUUAAAGUAUCCUCUUUAAAUAGAGGUGCUUCUCUCAUCUCCAGGGACCUCUACAACUUCAUGAAUUUUGAAGAUAACCACCAAGGGUUUAUUGUUGUUGUUGGGUGCAUUUCAUCAGAUGCUCUCAUUUUGUAUAUAUUUGACAUAUCCAAAUGGCUUUAAACUUCUUUCCUUAUGCUGGCCUUCUCCACAGUUCCCAUCAAAGCCUAUUUCAUUAAGUUCCAUUCACAAUUAACCUUUUUAUAAAGACUGAAACAAGAUGGGGCAAAUUCCUGCUUGGAACGUUCAGUCUGUUCUCCUUCCCCAGACACGUACGCCCCUACACAUCUUGCUGUUCUUAUUUUACAUCUAAUUUAUUUGCAGACCCUUGCUGGUUGCCUUCGAAACCUUGUGCGCACAGACUUAGUCGCUCUCAUGCUGUGAACCUGUAUUAUUCCUCUAUUCUCCCCCAGACACGUGCCCAUUUUGACUUUCCAUACGACUUCUUUCCAGCUUCCAGACCCUGCUGCUGCCAUAAUGGCAUCUAAUUAUACUUCUUAUCUGCUUUCACAGGGGAGCAGUCUGCUGUUGUGCACCAUCUUUGGUCUCUUCUGGGAACUGCCAGUUCUCAUACGUUUCCUCACCACGUAUUUCCAUCCAAGAGAGCUUCUCUACUUCUUCCUUGAUCUCUGUCAGAUGCUCAUUAUUUUGUUAUUUCUAUUCUUCUGACUUACUGUGCUGAUGGGAAAUGACGCUCAGGUUAUACAUAACUUCUCCUAUUCCCAAAUCUCUUGGGUUGUAAGUUAAGGACUAGCCUGAUAAGGCUGCAAAAUUGAAGGGGGGGAUCACUAAAAGCUCCUAAAAUCCUUCUGGCAGUGUUUCCAAGUGGGUCUGACUGGGCAUCACUGCAGAGAGGGUGUUGCUUGGAGAAAAAGAUACAGAAUUGGCCGGUUGGUCCCAGAACUGGCCAUUCGGUCCAUUUUGGAUGGUAUGUGGGAAGCAGGGCUCUGCGGCAGGAUCCCCCCAGACCCUGGCAUCUCAUGGAGUAAUUUCUGAUGUUCUCCAUGCAUAUGGGGAUUGGAUGAUAAACAAGCUCUGCUCGUGCCUCGACUCUUCAGAUGACGUCUGUAUUCUCAGCUCAAAAGGACCAAAGUGUUGCUCACCUCCGUAGCCCUGUUUCUGGGUGCAUUUGGCUGGAGCCUCUGUGCAGCCACACCACUUGCAUGCCCGACAUUUACCGCACUGGCCUGAAAGUCUUCUCGUUUCUCCCAUGGCCACUUGGAGUCAAGUGCCACUGGAAAUGUGGCUCCUGCAGGGAGGAAUUUCAGACGCCCUCAGUUCAGAUCCUAGACAUUUGUGAGUGCAAUUUUGUUUCGGGUUUUACAAAUGCUAUUCUGCUCACUUGCUUGCCUCGAGUAAUGAAGCAGCGAGAUAAAAGACAGGACCACAGAAGGUUGUUAAAAAAUUACUUGCAAAUUAAUGUGAGGACAAGGUGUAUGAGUUAAUAUCGUAUAAAGACCCUUGAAAUCGGCAUACAUGUGUGCACCCUCCGAGCACUGACAUUCGCAGGCAGAACUACACUGGUAACCAAGCCCAAGGGGCUUGAUUAACAGGAAAUUUUCAGAAUGCCAAUUAGAGCAAAGUUUACCGAACAAAUUGUUUGCACUUGUACCCUAGAACCAUCAUGAAUUUUAAUUCAGCAUGGAUUUAUGUGGCUGAAACAAUAAUUAAAGAUACAUGAAUGCCUUGUGUUCAGGAUACUCCCCCACAGCUACACUGUAGUCUUGGGUGGGGAAUGGGGUGAGGAGCUCGUUUGGGCAGGGUCUGCUCUCACUUGGGAGGACAUGGGGUGCAGGAGGGUUUUCCCCAUGGAGAUAUAAGCAGUUUCCUGAGUACUGAGCUCACUGAUUUGUGCAGCUGAUUUGUCUUUGGUUUCUUUUUUUCUCUUUUAUUUUUUUCUUCUUCAUUUUUGUAACCUGACAAAGAAUGAUCUGUGGGGCAUUUUAUCAAUUAAUGUUGGCUUGUCUUUUCCUGCCUUCCA